GCGGCACGCCUAACACAUGCAAGUCGAACGAAGUAGCAAUACUUAGUGGCAGACGGGUGAGUAACAUGUAGGUAUCUGCCCUUUGGCCUGGAAUAACACGAGGAAACUUGUGCUAAUACCGGAUAAGUCUUUACGGAGAAAGCUUUAUGCACCAUUGGAUGAGCCUGCACUUGAUUAGUUUGUUGGUGGGGUAAUGGCCUACCAAGACUGUGAUCAAUAGCUGAUUUGAGAGGAUGAUCAGCCACAUUGGGACUGAGACACGGCCCAAACUCCUACGGGAGGCAGCAGUGGGGAAUCUUGCACAAUGGAGGAAACUCUGAUGCAGCGAUGCCGCGUGAGUGAAGAAGGCCUUUGGGUUGUAAAGCUCUUUCGUCGGGGAAGAAAAUGACUGUACCCGAAUAAGAAGGUCCGGCUAACUUCGU
rnacentral:rRNA from 1 species